rnacentral:rRNA from 1 species
GACGAACGCUGGCGGCGUGCUUAACACAUGCAAGUCGAACGAAGAGCGAUGGAAGCUUGCUUCUAUCAAUCUUAGUGGCGAACGGGUGAGUGACGCGUAAUCAACCUGCCCUUCAGAGGGGGACAACAGUUGGAAACGACUGCUAAUACCGCAUACGAUCCAAUCGCGGCAUCGGGACUGGAUGAAAGGUUGGCGCUAUUUAUAAGCUCUCACUGAAGGAGGGGAUUGGGUCGGAUUAGCUUGUUGGAGGGGUAACGGCCCCCCCAGGCUAUGAACAGUAGCCGGUCUGAGAGGGUGAACGGCCAAAUUGGGACUGGGACAAGGCCCAGACUCCUUCGGGAGGCAGCAGUGGGGAAUCUUCCGCAAUGGACGAAAGUCUGACGGAGCAACGCCGCGUGGGUGAUGACGGCCUUCGGGUUGUAAAGCUCUGUUAAUCGGGAAGGAAGGUUCUUGUGCGAAUAGUGCGAGGAUUUGACGGUACCGGAAUAGAAAGCCACGGCUAACUACGUG